UGAGCAAUCUGCCCUUCUCUUCGGAAUAAGCGUUGGAAACGACGUCUAAUGCCGAAUACGACCUCCUUUCGCAUGAUCGGAGGUGGAAAGCUCCGGCGGAGAAGGAUGAGCUCGCGGCCUAUCAGCUAGUUGGUGUGGGUAAUGGCCCACCAAGGCGACGACGGGUAGCCGGCCUGAGAGGGUGGCCGGCCACACUGGGACUGAGACACGGCCCAGACUCCUACGGGAGNAGCG
rnacentral:rRNA from 1 species